rnacentral:rRNA from 1 species
GACGAACGCUGGCGGCGUGCUUAACACAUGCAAGUCGAGCGGUAAGGCCCUUUCGGGGGUACGACGAGCGGCGAACGGGUGAGUAACACGUGGGUGACCUGCCCUCAGCUCUGGGAUAAGCCUGGGAAACCGGGUCUAAUACUGGAUAUGACUCCAUGACGCAUGUUGGUGGGGUGGAAAGCCUUGUGCGGCUGAGGAUGGGCCCGCGGCCUAUCAGCUUGUUGGGUGGGGUGAGGCCUACCAAGGCGACGACGGGUAGCCGGCCUGAGAGGGCGACCGGCCACACUGGGACUGAGACACGGCCCAGACUCCUACGGGAGGCAGCAGUGGGGAAUCUUGCGCAAUGGGCGAAAGCCUGACGCAGCGACGCCGCGUGA